rnacentral:rRNA from 1 species
AUCCAUACCCACCCCUUCGUGCAAUGUUACUGUUAUUCCCUAUCAGCUGUUCCAGAGCUUGCUGGUCUUUCCAGUUGGAUCUCUGUCUUCCCUGUUAGGGACUUAUAUUUACACCUAAUUGUGAUUGUCUAAAAAUGUGCUGAAAAGCAAAAAUUUAAACAAAACAACUUUCAACAACGGAUCUCGUGGCUCCCACAACGAUGAAGAGCGCAGUGAAAUGCGAUACGUAGUGUGAAUUGCAGAAUACCGUGAAUCAUCGAAUCCUCGAACGCAUAUUGCGCUCUCGGGAUACCGAGAGCAUGCCUGUUUGAGCAUCAUCCAUCAUCCCUCACCAAUGGUUGGUAGUCUUGACUAUCAGUCAAAGGUAGAAUUGGACUUUCCACGGUUCUUGAAACCGCGAAGUCUUAAAUAAAGAAUCCCAGGACUCAAAACCUUUAUGAAAGAUUGGUCAUUUGCAAUUUGCGAUUGCUGACAUUUGUUGAGACAUUAGAGUCUUGCGGGCCUCUGGUGUAGGAUAAAACCUACAGCUAGAAAAACCAAGGGCUUUCGAGUUCUUGUGUGUUUGAUCUCAAAUCAGGCAAGGUUACCCGCUGAACUUAAGCAUAUCAUUAAGCGGAGGAAAAGAAACUAACAA